UACGAACCGUACAAACGUUAUUCGGAAUCACUGGGCUUAAAGGGUGCGUAGGCGGCCAUGUAAGUGAGGUGUGAAAUCCCUCGGCUCAACCGAGGAACUGCGCUUCAUACUGCAUGGCUUGAGGGAGACAGGGGUCAGCGGAACUGAUGGUGGAGCGGUGAAAUGCGUUGAUAUCAUCAGGAACACCGGUGGCGGAAGCGGCUGACUGGGUCUCUUCUGACGCUGAGGUACGAAAGCCAGGGGAGCGAACGGG
rnacentral:rRNA from 1 species